GUGUUUCUACUCGCAAUACAUUAAGCACGUCAGAAAUCAUGGCUGUCUGUUCAAAGCUAUUUCCUACACCUAUGUAUGUUUCUUUAAAUUAAAAACUAAUAUAGAUUCAUAUUUGUUAUGAAUACUGAAUAUAUUUGUAUAUUUGAUAAAAGUUGUAUCAUUUCUCUUUUAAUAAAUUUAAUAUAACUUGUGAAACCUAAGAAUUUUUAUUAAAAUUACAACACUAUCUUGCUAACUGGUUGGAAUUCUACCUUACUAACUAGUCGUGGUUAUCCCCACUAUUUCUUGGAAGUGCCUUCAUGGAGCAGAGCUUCUACAUUGUUGGAGAUCACAGCCAUAUAAACAAAGAGGAAAUGAGAAUGCUCACGCCCGUAAUUCUAGUUAUUUCACAGUACAGGUGCUGCACCGUGCGGCCAAGUGCCGAAGUUAACUAAAGUUAGCAUAUACAAGAACCUAUAAAAUUAGGGAUCUGCCCUGUUAGAUUACAAUUUAGCAUUUACAAGAACCUAUAAAAUUAGGGAUCUGUCCUCUUAGAUUACAAUUUAGCAUUUACAAGAACCUAUAAAAUUAGGGAUCUGUCCUCUUAGAUUGCAAUUUAUCAUAUACAAAAACCUAUAAAAUUAGGGAUCUGUCCUCUUAGAUUGCAAUUUAUCAUAUACAAGAACCUAUAAAAUUAGGAAUCUGCUUUAUUAGAUUGCAAUUUAACAUAUACAAGAACCUAUUUAUUUAAGCUUAAAGUUAGAGAUCUA
rnacentral:misc_RNA from 1 species